rnacentral:rRNA from 1 species
GUGAACGCUGGCGGCAGGCCUAACACAUGCAAGUCGAACGGUAGCACAGAGGAGCUUGCUCCUUGGGUGACGAGUGGCGGACGGGUGAGGAAUAUAUCGGAAUCUACCCAAUCGUGGGGGAUAACGUAGGGAAACUUACGCUAAUACCGCAUACGAUCUGAGGAUGAAAGCGGCGGACCGCAAGGCGUCGCGCGAUUGGAUGAGCCGAUAUCCGAUUAGCUAGUUGGUAAGGUAAAAGCUUACCAAGGCGACGAUCGGUAGCUGGUCUGAGAGGAUGAUCAGCCACACUGGAACUGAGACACGGUCCAGACUCCUACGGGAGGCAGCAGUGGGGAAUAUUGGACAAUGGGCGCAAGCCUGAUCCAGCCAUGCCGCGUGUGUGAAGAAGGCCUUCGGGUUGUAAAGCACUUUUGUUGGGAAAGAAAAGCAGCCGGUUAAUACCCGGUUGUUCUGACGGUACCCAAAGAAUAAGCACCGGCUAACUUCGUGCCAGCAGCCGC